rnacentral:misc_RNA from 1 species
AGCUAUUGAAAUUGAUGUGAAUGAAAGGUAAGUUGAUAAAUUCUAAUACUGAAUAAUAGUUAUUUUAAAAAUUUAAGUAUUUUUGAUAGUUUUGGACUGAUUUUGUUUUGUUAAUGCAACAUUGCGCGUUAGUAACACAUUUUGUCAUUUAUGUAAAUACUGGACAUUUCUUUUUCAGUAUUAAAAUGAGUCGUAAUUCGCGUCCUUUAUCUACUAAGGAACUGGAAUGUAUAUUGGAAGAAUGGAAAGACAGUGAAGAUGGCCUAGAUUUUUCUGAUGACGACGAUGUCACUGAUCCAACAUAUGACUUCCAGCCAAACGAGCUUGAAAGUUUUGAUGAAGAAUCAGAGGAGCCACAAGACUUGGAAAAUGAAGUUCAGUCUGCCACCACCCUAGAAACUACAUCCAUAAAUACUCACGUCAGUAGUACUGUAAUCUAAGACCAGCCAGCGAUUCUCUUAGUGCUAGUUCUAGAGAGCCCCCAAGUACAUCUAAUCGUGUGUCUAGGACUAAUACCAUAUGGAAAACGAAAAAUUUGAACUUGAAUGAGGACCAACUACAUCUUCAUGGAUCUGAUGCGUUACCUCCAGAAAUACUUUAGCUAGAUACUAACAUUUGAGGUAUUUACAUAUUUGUUUACUGAAGAUAUUAUCGACUGGAUAAAAGAUCAGACUAAUUUAUACUCUGUCCAGAAAAAUGCUAACAAACCCGUAAAUGUGACUAGUCAAGAGAUACGUCAAUUUAUUGGUAUUGUUUAUGACAUGUCAAUAGUGCGUAUUCCAUUGGUAUUCGAUGAGAAUGUUCUAGCAGAUAUAGUAAAUAUUCAAGAUAAAAAUACAAGUACAGUAUAAUCAUUUAGCAAUAAGUGUAUACAAGUAAAACUGAAAACAGAAAAAUAAUUUUCCUUUUCUUUUAAAAGUUUUUCAAUACUUAGGCUGUUCUUUAGAUAAAAAAGAUAUCAGACGGUUUUUCCUGUAUUCGAGCGGUAAAAGUAUAUAAUAUUUACUGUUUAUUCGAUGCGGCUCAUAUGUUGAAAUUAGCAAAAAAUACUUUAGCAGAUUUUACUUUAAAAUCCGAGCAAGCAGUAUAUCAUUGGAAUAUGUUCGAAAAUUAAAUGACGUGCAAGAGAACGAAGGUUUGAAAUUUUCAAACAAAUUAUGUAGUUUUCAUUUUAAUUACAGAAAUAAAAAAAUGAAUACAAAAUUAGCAGCUCAGGUGAUAAGCUGACGCUGUUGAUUUUUUAAGGGUAUGUAUCUGUUGCUGCUUAUAGGGGAAACCCGGUUGAAACGGGUACCCCGCCUAAAACAAGUAGGCAAUGCGACGUUAAAAUCUCAAGCGGCCAUAUUUCGCGAGGCGAUUAAGGUAAUUGCCCAGCUAAAGGAUAUUGCACUGGCAGUUUUAGCUGGCUUAAAUUUCUGGACCAUGGUAGAAAAUUGUAUAAAACUAUUGGUACUUGUAACAGAUAAUAUUUUCAAACUUGAAGACAAUGGAAUACUUAUAAAUGAAGUUUAUAUGGCCUUCAAAAAUAUUUAGUCUACAUUUAAUUUUGCAUUUCCGGAUAUAUCCAUUCUAAAUGAGCAUCACAAACAAGAUAUCAUAAAUGCUGUAAUUAGGCGAACAUAUAAUUGUUUGAAACUCAUUCAUUAUGCUGCAUAUUUAUUAGAUCCAAGCUCGCAAGGCAUUGGAUUAGAAGAAGAAUACGAAGUGGAUGCCAUGGAGUUUAUACACGACGUGAGCCAAUCGCUUAAUAUUGACGUUGGUGUUAGAGCUAAACAGGGUUUAUAGAGCAAACCAAUUAUAUGUAAGCAUGUCGUCAAAAUGAAACCGGUAGUUUGGUGGAGAGGACUAUGCAGGUCCAAAUUGCUGAAUAGGGUUGCAGUACGUAUUUUAACUACUCCCUGUACUUCAGCAGCCACUGAACGAUCUUUAAGCACGCAUGCGCAUAUACAUAGUCACAAACGAAAUAGAUUGACUACAGACAGGGCAGUAAAAAUAUAUUUUUUAACGUAUAAUUGGAACCUGUUACACAAACAUAAAGAUGAUAUCAAUGACUAUGAUAACGAGUCGUUAUCUACACCCAAGCAAUUGUCAAGUCCAUUGGGUAGCCCAAUAAAUGAAGAAUGACCUUCAACAUCUCGUGGAAAUACACAAGAAAUAGAAUUAUGCAAUAUUAAUAAUAUAUUUAAUGAACAUGACAGUAGCGACAGUGACUACAAAUUUUAAAUCGUAAAAAAACACUUGUAAGUUUUGUAAUAAAUAAUUGUUAGUAUGUCUCAUUUUUUUUUUGGUCAAAUAUUCUUAAAAGUUUCAACAAAGAUACUGUCUGCAAUUAAGUAACAUUCCAUCACAAUGCUCGGAAAAAAAUCUUAUGAUAAAUUGAAAUGAUGAGAGGAAAUUGAAGCAUUACUGGAUCUUCUCUUAUUUUCUGGAGUUAGUAUGAGAAAUGGUUGGUUGAAUGCCAAAGAUCUAUUUAGAACUGAUGGCGUCACCUAAGAUUUUCCGAUUGACCAUGAGCUGGAGUCGAUUUUACGUGUUAAUAUGUAUAAAAUACACACAAUAUUAUUAAUAGUUUUGGGAACUACUUAAUUGGGGUUUAUUAAAAUUAAAUUAUAACAUGACGAUUUUUACUGGGAGGACCCCAUCCAAAGAAUUUGCCACAGACUUCAGAUAGUAUAGUUACGCCAGUGUACGGAUUAUUUUUUAAUAAUUUCUAUCUGCUUAAGGGUACAUAUGGUACACUUUCUCAAUCAAUCAGAUCGUGUUCCUUACUGAUGUGUUUUUUAUUCAUUGCAAAAUUCAAUAUGCCUAGUUUAUAAAACAAGAGAAGGUGUAUAAUAAAAGAGUACCAAACGAUAAAGAUAUCUUGUGAUCGGAUAUGAAUGAUUUUAUCGCAGGUAAUGAUAUUCGUGGUACUUCAAAAAUAUACGGAUUAGCAGUUAUGACACUAAGAAGGUACAUUAGGGAGCGAAAAAAUUCUACAACUGAUGAUAUUGACUACAUUCCAAAUUAUCGACAGUCACAAUUUUUUCGGCUAUGGAAGAAAACGUAUUUGUUAAUUAUUUAAUAAGGGUUAGUAAAUUAUAUCACUGAUUAAUACCAAAAAAUGUACAACAGCUCAUAUUUCAAUAAAUUACUAAAAAUAAAAAGAAAAUACCACUAAAAUGGUCUUAUAAUGACAAAACAAACUACAAUUGGUUCUAUAGUAUUGAGCUUCUAUAGAACUCCUGACAACACUCCUGAACAGAGUUGCUGAAGCUUGUCUCGCGGCACGGCGUUUAACAGACAUAACAUAUGCGUUUUUAUACGCAUUCAAUUCAAGACUGCAAUAAAAAAAUCAUAGUUACUGUGAUGAGGAAAGCUAUAAGAACUAUCUAAGAAAAAAAAUGCAAUCUGAUCAGCAGUCGUAUUAUGAACUUUUAAAAAACCAGUCAAGUUCCAGGCAAUUCACUUUACGGCCGUAAACUGCCUUGUUCUUUUUCGUAUUAUGACAUACAAAAAACAAUCCGACUUCUGCCUGAAUAAUUUGUCUAUGGCUGGUUAUUCAUUUACACUCCAUUCGUUCAGAAACAACACAAGAAUUUUUACGGGAAGUUACGGUUUUUAUGCUCACAUAGUUUUGACAUGGUAGUGGUUAAAUAAAUAUAACGAAAAUGCAAUUAUUACGAUACAUUAUUAGAUAGAUAGAUUUACGUUAUUAAUUAAAAUAUUCUCAUUAUCUUUUUGAACGUUUCGAAUUAUAUCUUAGAAUGCAUUUCGUGCACAUUUUCGAACGUAGCUACAUGACGUUGUUGAUCCACUUAAAAUUCCGCGCCGAAUCCAUUUGAAUAUGAAUUUUUUGAAGUGGAGUUUGAAACUGUGAAACUAUUUCAUUACUUGGCUGCAUUCCAAAUAGUUCGAAGUCUGUCACUUAAUUUUUACAAAAUAUUUUUUGUGUUUAUCAACAAGAAAAAUAUAUAUCAUGGCGUAAGUGUUUUUAGUGUUAUUCUACAUAUAUUGUGUGCUAAAAAAAUGCUAUAUUAAAUUAAUGUAAGACUUAAUUAUUUUAAUUAAAUCGCAGAUCAACUUCUGCUGAAAAUUCUCACACACGUCGUCGCGUAACGUACCGGCAGUUAGAAAUUCUGUGGAAAUUUUAAAUACCAAUAAGGACGUGGCUGUCGGUUUUAAUAAAUCUGCUUAAGCGCGAGAAUAUGCAAAACGUAUGUGGGAAGAAGUCGCAGAAGUAUUAAAUUCAUUGGGAGAAGGAGCUUUUAAAGACUGGAAAGGAUGGUCAAAUUAUUGGGUGGAUUAUAAAGCUAAUUUAAAAAGAAGAGUUGCUGCAGUACGUCUAUCUCAAAACCGUACUGGAGAUGGACCUUCGAAUGUUCCACCCUUGGAUGCACUAGAACAAAAGUUCUUGAGCAUUUUAGGGACAGGUUUCGGUUCGGGCUUGAGUAAUGUACAAGUCGACCCAUUUCCAAACAUACCAAGUACUAGUGGCACUGCAUUGAGAUCAGAACCUCUGAACUCUGACUCUGAUGCAGUAAUGAUUGAGUUCACUGCAUCAGAGUCAGUGUCCAGAGGAGACAUACAUAUAGCAACUAUAGACACACAAAACACAGGAACUGAAGAGCUUCCACAUCCUCAAGUACAACUCGAAGUUCCUACAGAAGCCCCUCCACGCCCCGUCUCGCCCGACACGACGUAGACCAAGACAACAGAGAACUGUUAGUAUGGAGACAGCAAGGAAUGCUUUAAUAGAUAUCGCAAGGUCACGACUACAAGAACAGAGAAGACAGACAGCUAUUAUGGAGCAAAUGCUCAAUACAUUAAAUAGGAUAGCUGAAUCAAUUAACAGAAGCUCGAGAACUCCAGAGGCGAGAAACGAGGGCGCGCCUGGCAGCUAAACCUUCAUUUAAUUCUGCACUUGAAGACUGAGACAGAUCAUG